rnacentral:rRNA from 1 species
AUGCCGGCGCCGCCGGCGACACAAGUGCCUCGAACAGAAAUUUUGGAAAACCAUGUUAGCAACUUGAAUCUUCUGAGCUGGAAUUGCCGAGGGUGUGGAAAUUCUCGUACAAUACCGGAUCUUGUGAGCUUGGUGCAGGUUCAUUCUCCUACUAUCGUCUUUCUUUGUGAAACUAGGCAAAGGAAACAUAGGAUGAAAAGAUAUCGAUCUCCCUUAGGUCUAAGUGGUUUCGAAGCAGUCAAUAGCAAUGGUCUUAGUGGUGGCUUAGCUCUUUUCUGGCAUGAAUCGGUACAACUUGAUGUAAAAGAUAUGAAUGAACGAUAUAUUGAUGCCUAUGUGAGUGCUGCGACGGGGGAGCCACCUUGGCGGCUUACCUGCGUCUAUGGAGAACCGCGGACGGAGGACCGACAUCGCAUGUGGUCCAUCCUCCGGGAUCUCCACCGCCAAGCCGACAUGCCGUGGGUGGUGGUUGGAGACUUCAACGAGGCUAUGUGGAGCUUCGAACACUUCUCCGAAUCACCGCGGCCGGCAGGUCAGAUGAUUGAUUUUCGUGAUGCUCUGGAAGUUUGUGGAUUGGGUGAUCUUGGUUUUGCAGGGCUGCCUUUCACUUAUGACAAUCGUCUUGGAGGACGGGCGAAUGUCAAAGUCAGACUGGACCGGGCUGUUGCAAAUAAUUCUUGGCGUGACAUCUUUACACAUGCCAAGGUGGAACACUUCGUGAUGCCUAGUUCGGACCACCUAGCUAUUUUGCUUCGGUGUGUCAUGGAGGACCAGCCACCGGUGUCAGGUAGGAGGUGCCAUCAGUAUGAGGUAAUGUGGGAGAGAGACUCGACCCUCCCGGAGGUAAUAAUGAAUACUUGGGUUGACUUGGGGUCUAUGUUGAACGGGGGGAUAUAG